CCUAAAUUCGUGGAAAUUGACACACACUUUAUCUAACUGAAGACGACACAGAAAUGACCCCAAUAACCAAAUAUCUAGACACGGGAAGGAAAUGUGAAAUGUACUCACCCACGGCGACACAGAACACACAAAGGAGGACCUGGAAGGACUGCAUGGCGACUGGCUGAAGAAUAAGAAUAUGAUAGAGAGGUAUAUUUACCGGAUGACGUAAAUGGCUGGAGGUUACACAAGUCUACACGGAACUGUCGGGAUGUCUAUCCCCGGGUACUUACUUUGGCACCAUAACGAAGUG